GUGGUGUAUAUAGUCUGCCGCGCUUCUCGGCGAGGUCGCGAUACAGCACAAGUACAAUACAAGUACGAGAAGAGAAAAUCCAAGUAAAGCCAGCCGGCCAUUUUCCCUCUCACUUGCUUGCGCUCCGACUCAACAAUUAGUAGGGGAGGAAGGAACAAAAAACAGAGAGAGACAACCAACUGCUGCUCCGUGUCGUCCUUGUUGCCAAGUUUCCGUAUUGUGAGCGUGCGCUCCGGCUCAACACUACUAAAGCUACUACGGUACUUGCUACUGUACCCAGCACAACCUAAGAAAAACCUUGAGGUUGUAUUACAGUAUGACUAGGUAUCCAUUGGAGAUUUAGUCUAGGUAGUUAAAAAUAAAAUUAUCCGCAAAAGAACGAAACAUAAACUGUACUUUGGUGUUGAAAACACAACUGCAACUAUAGAGAUGCAAGACAGAGACAACAAUAAUAUGCCUGAUUUCUUUCCCGCUCAUAUCAAUGGUUUGCUGGCGGCAAAAGAGAAAGACUGGUGGGGCGUUGCGCAUAUGACGUUAUAUUUCUGGUAGCUAUCAGAGAAAAUAUAUUCCAUCCUUGUCAGGUUCAUACCAACUGGAAUGCCUUCAUUGGUUGACUAAAAUAAUGCCAGCCCCGGGUUGGGAUUCACAGGGGCGUACGCAGGGGCUGCUGGCCGCCCACCCCGACUUACAGGGGGACGCCAACAAUCGUGUUAUCCUUCCUUGGUCCUGGUCAUGGUGAAACAUCAACGAUUCUUCAGAAGGUUACUCGUAAGGGUAGAGUAGUGAAGACGCGUUUGCGCUUGAGUUCUGUUUUGUUCUCAUCCUUGGUUUGUUUGUACGUGGGAUCGAAUCGAGUAUGCACACUCCACUUUUGUUUGUAUAUAUAUGUAUAAAGCCUGGCUGGCUUUACUUGUGCUCAAGGCUUUGCUGGGGGAUACGCAACGCUAACUCUUCCUGCCCUCGACGAAAUACAAUCUCGCAUUUUUUUUAUACCAGCUUGUGCUGAUGUACCUAAAACAGGCUGGAAGAUCCCAUACACCGGUUACCCGGAAAAACAUUUGCUGAUGGGGGGGAGGAGUCGCUUGUGGACUGCCGCCCCUUGAUAAGCUGAAUGUGGCCUAUAUUCAAUGAAACAGCUGCUGUUUCUGACCCUAGGCUGGAAGAACACGCUCGCCUAACUAUAACGCAGUUGUACGUGAAUUUUUAAAAUUCAUAGUAGUUGUAUAUGAUAUAAUUUUAUAAAUUCUACCAUAAAAAAUAUUCACUGUGUAGAAAGUUAACGCUCUAUUGGAAGUAAUAUUUUUUUUUUUUUUUUUUUUUUUUUUUUAAUGUCACAGGUCUGCUUGGAGCAAUUUUUGGAUGGAUUUGUAAAUAUGAAUGAGCGAAAACAAACAAUUGGAGAGGUUUUUUCAGAUUGCAUUUACAAAGCAAAUAUUCUCAGCCAAACGUAUACCUAGAUAUGAACCUUUUAGUAAUCCAUUGGCGUAGGAAAAAAAAUUGUACACUUUAAAAGUUGAGUAAUACAGGGGGAAAUAUUUUACGAAAGAGAGAUAAGAUAAAUGUAAUAUAUAUUAUUAUAGAAAUAGAUUAAUAAUUAGUUAACAAACAAGGAUAAAUCGCUUGCAUUAUUCGUAUAGUUAAAGUUCAAUUUUCAUUUUAAAUUGAAAAUUUUUAUUAAAGUCAACAGUAAUUAAAUUGAGUAAAUUAUUGUUUAAUGUUGAUAUAGUUAGAGAUAAAUGUUAUCGAAUAAAUGUAACGUGACAUUGACAGUGAGAUGAAAUAAAUUAUAUGUACAUAUUUUGUUUUCGUAUAUAUAUAUAUCUAUAUAUAUGUAUAUGUAUAAUAAUAAUAAUAGUUUAAUAUAUCCUUUGAUUUUUAACACGACUUUAAUCUCGAUAUCAUUAUUGUAGUAUUACAAUUAAAAGACUAGAGAUAUCAAUUUGUUUUUUAUAUUAUUGUGAUUUUUUUUUUU